rnacentral:rRNA from 1 species
AACGCGAAGAACCUUACCAGGUCUUGACAUACCACGAGUAGCAUAGAGAUAUAUGAUGCCCUUCGGGGCGUGGAUACAGGUGGUGCAUGGUUGUCGUCAGCUCGUGUCGUGAGAUGUUGGGUUAAGUCCCGCAACGAGCGCAACCCUUACUAUUAGUUGCUACGCAAGAGCACUCUAAUGGGACUGCCGUUGACAAAACGGAGGAAGGUGGGGAUGAUGUCAAAUCAUCAUGCCCUUUAUGACCUGGGCUACACACGUAAUACAAUGGCACUUUAACCACGGGAGGCAAAGCCGCGAGGCCCAGCGAAACCCCAAAAAGUGUCUCAGUUCGGAUUGCAGGCUGCAACUCGCCUGCAUGAAGUCGGAAUUGCUAGUAAUCGCGGAUCAGCAUGCCGCGGUGAAUACGUUCCCGGGUCUUGUACACACCG